UACGUAGGUGGCAAGCGUUGUCCGGAAUUACUGGGUGUAAAGGGAGCGCAGGCGGGAAGCCAAGUCAGCUGUGAAAACUACGGGCUUAACUUGUAGACUGCAGUUGAAACUGGUUUUCUUGAGUGAAGUAGAGGUUGGCGGAGUUCCGAGUGUAGCGGUGAAAUGCGUAGAUAUCAGGAGGAACACCGGUGGCGAAGGCGGCCUGCUGGACUGCAACUGACGUUGAGGCCCGAAAGCGUGGGGAGCAAACAGG
rnacentral:rRNA from 1 species